GACGAACGCUGGCGGCGUGCCUAAUACAUGCAAGUAGAACGCUGAAGAGAGGAGCUUGCUCUUCUUGGAUGAGUUGCGAACGGGUGAGUAACGCGUAGGUAACCUGCCUGGUAGCGGGGGAUAACUAUUGGAAACGAUAGCUAAUACCGCAUGAAAUUGCUUAUCGCAUGAUAAUUAAUUGAAAGAUGCAAUUGCAUCACUACCAGAUGGACCUGCGUUGUAUUAGCUAGUUGGUGAGGUAACGGCUCACCAAGGCGACGAUACAUAGCCGACCUGAGAGGGUGAUCGGCCACACUGGGACUGAGACACGGCCCAGACUCCUACGGGAGGCAGCAGUAGGGAAUCUUCGGCAAUGGGGGGAACCCUGACCGAGCAACGCCGCGUGAGUGAAGAAGGUUUUCGGAUCGUAAAGCUCUGUUGUAAGAGAAGAACGGGUGUGAGAGUGGAAAGUUCAC
rnacentral:rRNA from 1 species